rnacentral:rRNA from 1 species
UACCAGCACCCCGAGUGGUCGGGACGUUUAUUGGGCCUAAAGCAUCCGUAGCCGGUUCUACAAGUCUUCCGUUAAAUCCAACUGCUUAACAGGUGGGCUGCGGAAGAUACUAUAGAGCUAGGAGGCGGGAGAGGCAAGCGGUACUCGAUGGGUAGGGGUAAAAUCCGUUGAUCCAUUGAAGACCACCAGUGGCGAAGGCGGCUUGCCAGAACGCGCGCGACGGUGAGGGAUGAAAGCUGGGGGAGCAAACCGG